AUUGUGAGAAAUCCUUUAGCUGGUGU
rnacentral:piRNA from 1 species